rnacentral:lncRNA from 1 species
UUUAGCCUAAAUCAGAUUUAUGGAAGCUUCAUCAAAAAGCAAUAGACCCAUAUUAACAAAAUAAAAAAUACAAGAAGGUUCUAAAAACAUUGAAAAAUAUUGUCUGAAAGUGCCAGUAAUAUGGUUAUGUUCAUUCCGAAUAAAUUAAUGAUGCUGAAGAGUCAAGAUUGAGAUUGCAACCAGAUAGCUGUGCUGAGAUGUCUAU